rnacentral:rRNA from 1 species
UACGUAGGGUGCGAGCGUUGUCCGGAAUUAUUGGGCGUAAAGAGCUCGUAGGCGGUCUGUCGCGUCUGCUGUGAAAUCCCGAGGCUCAACCUCGGGCUUGCAGUGGGUACGGGCGAGGCUAGAGUGCGGUAGGGGAGAAUGGAACUCCUGGUGUAGCGGUGGAAUGCGCAGAUAUCAGGAAGAACACCGAUGGCGAAGGCAGUUCUCUGGCCGUAACUGACGCUGAGGAGCGAAAGCGUGGGGAGCGAACAGG